rnacentral:ncRNA from 1 species
GGAUAAUCCCAGGCGACUGGGGAAAGGUCGGGUCAGGCUGGUUGGCCCGGUCCCUCUGAAGUUGGAUCGAAAGGUUCGGCGGAGAGGCAGGAUUCACCAGUUCCUCUGGCAUGUUCGCAAAUGCCAAAAGCGAAUGAGGGACUUGGCGGCCAGGAACGAUUGAGAAACCGUUCCGAGCCGGGUCAAGUAGUUCAGGCCGGUUUCGAGCCUGAGCGAAUCGCAGUUACCCAGAGGGUAAACGGUUGUUACUGUGCACCGGCACGGUGUCGGCGACUCUGGCGGAUUCAAUUAAAACGAUGAACCCGCCCGAUGAAACCCGUCGAAAGGCGGACAAAGGGAGCGCAGGCGCCGGAAAGGACACGCUGACUGGGCAGGUCGCGUGAAAACCUUUCCAAGCUGGCGAUGUUAAAAACGAUGUCGCUGGGCUGUGAGCCAAAAGCAACCUGAGAGUGAAGAGGCGAGACCCGUGGCACCGGGCGAACGCACCGCCAAAAGCGGUGGCUGACCCGGCGCUAAGCGGUCAAGACGCGAAAUGUUGAUCACAGGCGUGUCUUGACCUGGUUCACAGGCAGGUGGCGCAACCACCCGCCGAAGUGAGCUGAAAAGCCUCACUCGAAAUCCGGCGACCGCAAGGCGCCGGACGGCCCUGCUACGAGGCCGAUAACUCCGCUUGCCGUGGAGAAUGGCGUCGGGAAACCGGCAGCCCCCGCGAGGGUGCGCGCCUAAUGCUGGUCCGGGAAAGAGAGAUUGGCGAACUCC